rnacentral:lncRNA from 1 species
AAAAACGAAACGCCAAAAAGGACCAACAAACUUCUUUAAAUGUGUUAAAAACUCAAAACAGUUAUGCAGUGUUACAUUACAGUUGCCUUUUGCCUACGUCUGAGAUUUACAACAUUCUAAGCAACACCAGCUGCAUCAAGUUAGGCUAAAUCAAACAUUUGGUAAUCUACACAUAUAAGAGAACAUGAUAACUAACUGAGUAUUUAAACCAUGGUUAAUCAUCAGUUCAUGCUUUCCGAAGAUAUAAUAGGAUUCAUAUGAGAUAGAUGGGGAUAAGCAAGAGGGACUCCCUCUUGGUCUUCUUGUGAGGUACAACAGCAUAGCUAAUGGAUUUUGGCACCAAAUAACAGAAGGCGUUCAACCAGAGAGUAAACCAAUUGCAAAUUUUAUCCCUUGUUUCCAGCUUGUUAGAAGCUAUUCAGUAGAUCAGGUCCCUCCAGAGUUAAAAUUGAGGUGACAUUUCUUCCCUCUUUCCUAUUCUCUGCCUAUCAAGCACAGAGCUGGCAUGUACAUAUAGAGUUGGUCAAGUCCAAUCUUAGCAAGUAGUUGAAGGCCAUAGAAUAGAAAGAAGACCACUUACUUGCAAGGUUCUUUAGCCUAUCCUUUUGCUCUCUCUUCUUCCCAUGCAGCUGAGCAGAUUCAAUGUGAUACGAACCUCCGAACCUCCUAUACAUCAAAAUACAAGCCUUGAGAAUAAAUCACAAUGAAAAAUAGAGGCAAAGUAACCAGAAAAAGAGUUUGCAUCAGUAGUUGGAGAAGAACCAAAGGAGUUUAGGGCAGAGCAACAGUAGAAAGAAGAGGGAAAAACAAACAAGAAAUACUAAGUAAAGAAGACGUGAUUAAGU